rnacentral:lncRNA from 1 species
CCGAGCAAUUCUGGAUGCGUGGGGAUGAUUGGAAGUGAAUUUCAGAGGUAUUUAGAUGUUUUCGGAGAAAACCGGCGCGAAAACGGAUUUUCGGAGUUGUUCUGCUGUUGAAGUGCAGAACUGGCACUGGGUACCGGUACCAGGUCGAUGCAGUACCGGUACCCUGUCAGCAAGCGAAUGUAUAGCGUACGGGGUCCGUACAGCGCGGGUUGGUACCGGUACUAAAUCUUGAG